rnacentral:sRNA from 1 species
UCUAGUUGCUUCGUCUGCUGGGUUUUGC